UCUCUCUGGCCUCUGGUGGUUGUGAGAAGCAGCUGCAGAGUGAACCACAGUGGCUGUCCUGUAAACACACCUGUGACGUCGUGCUCUGCAGCACAUUCUGCGGCUGUCCCCAUCAGGACCUCUCUCAAGGAACAUCUGGGUGAUUCAUGGAGCUUUCACUUCCUGAGAGGCUGUGAUGAGGAAACUGCUCAUCCAAAUCAUGAGGAGGUGGAGAACACUCAGGAAGAAGAGGAAGGACGGGAAACGUCCUACAAAAAAGUGGAUCAUCUGACUGGAGGAUUUACUGAAGGAGUGUAAAUCUGUUUGAUGUGGACCCUUCAUGGAGGAUUUUUUCAACCUUUUUUGGAGCCACUUUCGAGUAUUUCACCGCAUUCUUCAAAGAACUUGUCACGACCAAAAAUGAGCUCUUGAUGUCAGAACUUUAAAUCUUCACUUUCCUGAUCGCCGUCAUCCAGCUGCUUUGCAACAUUAGCCACAGUCUGGAAGCUGCUGCCUUGCUGGAGGGCACCUCGGCAGUCGGAGUGAAGGACUCCAGACUCUGUUAGCUGACCUGGGAUUCAAAGUGGCCUCUUGUUGGAUUACAGGAACAUUUGCUUGGACAUGGAGGCUGUUUAUCUCGGUGAAGAUGCAGCGGUGUGAGACAGCAGAGGCCACUGUGACGCAGAUGAUGGUUUAGCUGCCCGUGCCAUGCUGAGAGGGAGACUAGCUCUCGUGAGUGUGCAUCUGUGUUUCUUCUGUUUAUCUGCCCUGAUGCCACAACCAGCCGCCAAUGUCUGCACCAAAGACAUCAUGAAGAAUGUCCAGUUCCUCAUCAACACCUCCGACCUGGAACAUCUGGGUGAUUCAUGGAGCUUUCACUUCCUGAGAGGCUGUGAUGAGGAAACUGCUCAUCCAAAUCAUGAGGAGGUGGAGAACACUCAGGAAGAAGAGGAAGGACGGGAAACGUCCUACAAAAAAGUGGAUCAUCUGACUGGAGGAUUUACUGAAGGAGUGUAAAUCUGUUUGAUGUGGACCCUUCAUGGAGGAUUUUUUCAACCUUUUUUGGAGCCACUUUCGAGUAUUUCACCGCAUUCUUCAAAGAACUUGUCACGACCAAAAAUGAGCUCUUGAUGUCAGAACUUUAAAUCUUCACUUUCCUGAUCGCCGUCAUCCAGCUGCUUUGCAACAUUAGCCACAGUCUGGAAGCUGCUGCCUUGCUGGAGGGCACCUCGGCAGUCGGAGUGAAGGACUCCAGACUCUGUUAGCUGACCUGGGAUUCAAAGUGGCCUCUUGUUGGAUUACAGGAACAUUUGCUUGGACAUGGAGGCUGUUUAUCUCGGUGAAGAUGCAGCGGUGUGAGACAGCAGAGGCCACUGUGACGCAGAUGAUGGUUUAGCUGCCCGUGCCAUGCUGAGAGGGAGACUAGCUCUCGUGAGUGUGCAUCUGUGUUUCUUCUGUUUAUCUGCCCUGAUGCCACAACCAGCCGCCAAUGUCUGCACCAAAGACAUCAUGAAGAAUGUCCAGUUCCUCAUCAACACCUCCGACCUGAAGGUGUUGGACUGCAGACUGUACACGCCCACCAUCAACGACUACCAGAAUUGUCCCAGCGCCACAAUGAAAUGUUUUGCUGCCGAAAUCAGUGUCCUCAUGGAAGAGUGGGAGACUAUCCCUUAUCACGGUUUCGGAUUGGACAAAAAGCUGGAAAAACUAGCAAAGUUGUUAAACCAGACAGAGUCAGAGUGUCAUCAGUGUGAGUUCUUCAAGGAACAAAAUGCAGAAAAGUUCCUCAACAAUCUUCAUUCGACUCUUCAGAGGAUGAACUCUGAGCACUGUUAACUGCUCGUCGUGAUCCUGGUGGACGUUCAGAGACCUCAUGACCGUUUUUUUUUCUCCUGGUGAACUUUUCAUAUCCCCUGAGCACAAAUAAAGUGCACCAUGCAUGAUGUCUGAGCAUGUCAGUGGUAUUUAAUUCACAGCUGGAGGGAUGCAAAUGGGUCUUUUCAGUGUGCAGAACGGAGAACAAAGCAUCUGCAUUUUGGUGGAGGCAUGUGAGUAGUACAGCUUGCAGUUUGACUGGUAAGUGUGGGAAAAAGGUGUUUUCUUCAUAUUUUCUAUCUGAAGUGGGUGAAAAGAGAAAAUACAGAACCUCAGGAAACAUAUUUCUGAAGGUAACUCAAACUCAACAAAGGAACACAAAUGACUCAUAAAAUGACAAAGUGAUGACAUUUUAUAUUGAUAAGGCCAAAGUUCAGCUUCGCUGUGACAUCAUAAUGUUCAUCAUUAUUCAGCAGCGUCAGUCAGGUCCAGAAGGCAGAUUGUGGUCCUGUUUCUCAGUCGGUCAGAUCCUGAAUCAGUGACUCUGAUCUUGAAGCUGAGCUAAUUGUAAAGAUCUUCUGAGCUGCAGGUUCAGCGUGUGUGAAGCCUCGUUGUGAUGAUGUUGAUCUUCAGGUGACUGUUGUUGCAUCAUGUGAUGAAGCUCUCUGUCCGUCCUCUGGACUCCUCUGGACAAACAGUCUCUGAGUGAAGACAGCGUGUUUCUCUCUGGACAUUAUUCACUGGGAUCAGACAGUGAGAUUUCACUAACAAAUGAACUGAAUACCUUUAAUUAAAGUCAUUCAAAGUCUUCAGUGCAGAUAUUAAUGAGUCUGGACAGACGUGGAUGUGAACUGUGACCUGAUUGGUUGGUGGAGGCAAACUGUAGUCGUUGACGUUUUCUUAAGAUCUGUCUCCACGUUGAUAAAAAAUAUAGAGUUUCCUAAUCUGCAAUGCAAGUAAAGCUCUUACUGAACCUUUUAUCCAUUUUUAUUAAAAAAUGACAACAUAGAAAAUACUCGGGCAGCAGGCGAAUCAGUUUUUCAUCUUCUGCAGCUCAGACAACCAAAUGUACACAUCUCAAAUGAACCUUUGAAUUUAUGCUGAGUCGUGAGUGUUGAAGGCUGAACUGGAUUUAAUAAGCAGUUCAAAAUUAUUUUGAGCUGAGAAAAAGCAGAAAAACUCCAGAAAGUUGGACUUUGUCCGUGUUCACAGGCUCUGGGCUCACAUGUUCAUUAAAAGCUACUUCCUGUUUUUUAGUCACGACUCCUCUGGCUUCUUUUAAUGAUCAGGGAUGUU